rnacentral:rRNA from 1 species
AGAGUUUGAUCCUGGCUCAGGACGAACGCUGGCGGCGUGCCUAAUACAUGCAAGUCGAGCGAAUGGAUGGGAGCUUGCUCCCUGACAUUAGCGGCGGACGGGUGAGUAACACGUGGGCAACCUGCCUAUAAGACUGGGAUAACUUCGGGAAACCGGAGCUAAUACCGGAUACGUUCUUUUCUCGCAUGAGAAAAGAUGGAAAGAUGGCAUCUCGCUGUCACUUAUAGAUGGGCCCGCGGCGCAUUAGCUAGUUGGUGAGGUAACGGCUCACCAAGGCCACGAUGCGUAGCCGACCUGAGAGGGUGAUCGGCCACACUGGGACUGAGACACGGCCCAGACUCCUACGGGAGGCAGCAGUAGGGAAUCUUCCGCAAUGGACGAAAGUCUGACGGAGCAACGCCGCGUGAGCGAAGAAGGCCUUCGGGUCGUAAAGCUCUGUUGUUAGGGAAGAACAAGUACCAGAGUAACUGCUGGUACCUUGACGGUACCUAACCAGAAAGCCACGGCUAACUACGUGCCAGCAGCCGCGGUAAUACGUAGGUGGCAAGCGUUGUCCGGAAUUAUUGGGCGUAAAGCGCGCGCAGGUGGUUUCUUAAGUCUGAUGUGAAAGCCCACGGCUCAACCGUGGAGGGUCAUUGGAAACUGGGGGACUUGAGUGCAGGAGAGAAAAGUGGAAUUCCACGUGUAGCGGUGAAAUGCGUAGAGAUGUGGAGGAACACCAGUGGCGAAGGCGGCUUUUUGGCCUGUAACUGACGCUGAGGCGCGAAAGCGUGGGGAGCAAACAGGAUUAGAUACCCUGGUAGUCCACGCCGUAAACGAUGAGUGCUAGGUGUUGGGGGGUUCCACCCUCAGUGCUGAAGUUAACACAUUAAGCACUCCGCCUGGGGAGUACGACCGCAAGGUUGAAACUCAAAGGAAUUGACGG